rnacentral:rRNA from 1 species
UACGGAGGGGGCGAGCGUUAUUCGGAAUUAUUGGGCGUAAAGGGCUCGUAGGCGGCCAACUAAGUCAGACGUGAAAUCCCUCAGCUUAACUGGGGAACUGCGUCUGAUACUGGAUGGCUUGGAUUCGGGAGAGGAAUGCGGAAUUCCAGGUGUAGCGGUGAAAUGCGUAGAUAUCUGGAGGAACACCGGUGGCGAAGGCGGCAUUCUGGACCGACAUUGACGCUGAGGAGCGAAAGCCAGGGGAGCAAACGGG